rnacentral:rRNA from 1 species
CGGUUAGUCCUGGCGUCACGGAGUCGAACGGCGUGGCGGCGGUGGCCUAACACAUGCGAAGUCGAACGGGGCGGCGGCGGCGUGAGGCUUUUCGGUAGCGGAAGCCGGCGCUGCCAGUGGCGGACGGGUGAGUAACGGCGUGGGCGAACCUGCCCUGCACUGGGGGACGAACAAGCCGGAAACGGCUGCUAAUACCGCAUAUGCCCGCAGCCCCGCAUGGGGCGGCGGGGGAAGGCUCCGGCGGUGCAGGAUGGGCCCGCGUCUGAUUAGCUGGUUGGCGGGGCAACGGCCCACCAAGGCGACGAUCAGUAGCCGGCCUGAGAGGGUGGGCGGCCACAUUGGGACUGAGACACGGCCCAGACUCCUACGGGAGGCAGCAGUGGGGGAUAUUGCACAAUGGGGGGAACCCUGAUGCAGCGACGCCGCGUGGGCGAUGGAGUGCUUCGGCAUGUAAAGCCCUAUCAGCAGGGAAGAAAAUGACGGUACCUGACUAAGAAGCCUCAGCUAAAUACGUG